GACGAACGCUGGCGGCGUGCCUAAUACAUGCAAGUAGAACGCUGAAGGAGGAGCUUGCUCUUCUGGAUGAGUUGCGAACGGGUGAGUAACGCGUAGGUAACCUGCCUGGUAGCGGGGGAUAACUAUUGGAAACGAUAGCUAAUACCGCAUAACAGUAGAUGUUGCAUGACAUUUACUUAAAAGGUGCAAUUGCAUCACUACCAGAUGGACCUGCGUUGUAUUAGCUAGUUGGUGGGGUAACGGCUCACCAAGGCGACGAUACAUAGCCGACCUGAGAGGGUGAUCGGCCACACUGGGACUGAGACACGGCCCAGACUCCUACGGGAGGCAGCAGUAGGGAAUCUUCGGCAAUGGACGGAAGUCUGACCGAGCAACGCCGCGUGAGUGAAGAAGGGUCUCGGAUCGUAAAGCUCGGUUGUAAGAGAAGAACGAGUGUGAGAGUGGAAAGUUCACACUGUGACGGUAUCUUACCAGAAAGGGACGGCUAACUACGUG
rnacentral:rRNA from 1 species